rnacentral:rRNA from 1 species
UACGUAGAGUGCGAGCGUUAAUCGGAAUUACUGGGCGUAAAGCGUGCGCAGGCGGUGAGCUGUGUCCGAUGUGAAAGCCCCGGGCUUAACCUGGGAAUGGCAUUGGAAACUGGCUCGCUGGAGUGUGGCAGAGGGGGGUGGAAUUCCGCGUGUAGCAGUGAAAUGCGUAGAGAUGCGGAGGAACACCGAUGGCGAAGGCAGCCCCCUGGGCUAACACUGACGCUCAGGCACGAAAGCGUGGGGAGCAAACAGG